UGGUACAGCGGGGAUUUGACGAAGCGCGCAUAGCUGUCGAACUUCAUCAAAUUGAAGAUCUGCUUGGCCAGCGAGUGUGAGUGGUGAUUGGUACCAGGAGAGGACAGUGGAGGGCUGGAUGUUGGGUUCUGCCUGCAUCUCUCCAGUCCCAGGUCCCGCCCUAGCCAGUUCAAGCAGGGAAACCCCAAGCCCUGCCUCCCCCAAACCAGUCAUUUACCUGGCGUCUGAGACCCGCCCCUACUCUUGACCCCGCCCUUCAAGGCAAUUGCCCCUUCCCUUCCGACUUGGACUCCGCCCCUGUGUCUGGGCCUGUUGAGUGUUCGUUCCCUCUGGUUCCCUCACCUGAAGCUGCUGUGCUCGGAACAUAUCUGGCCGGGGCUGGGCCAGCACCUCCUCACUAAGCCAGGCCUGUCGGUCGAUGUUCACUGGGCUCAGCGCCUGGCUGGAUAGGAACUCGUGGUAGAUGUUGUGGGCCUCCUGAGCUAGCUAGGGAUGAGGGACCAGAAAAGGUCAGGGGGUAUGCCCCAGGCCCUAGUCCCCACCCAUCUGUCCCAUCUUUCUCUGCACCUGCUUGGUGUCGCUGGCUGGGAUCUGCUGGAAACGUUCGCAGGCUUUCCAGAAAGUUACGUUCUCUGCGCUGAAUUCCUUCUUCAGGAACUCCUGGCAUGAGGAAAAGGGGAAGAAAGGCCUUCAGACACAGACUGGUUGAGGGACGCGUUCAAAGACUGGGACAGACACGGAGGCCAAGAGACCAGACAAGACAGACAGAUGGUGCCAGCUCUGGGGUACCGGAAGAAAAUAAGAAACAGAGAUGAGGACAAGAAAGGAGAGUUCCCAGCUUGGUGAUGAAGGAAAGGAUGCCAAAGACAGGGACCACAGAGAGAAGCAGCACUCUGGCCAACCUGAACCCCCUUUCUGCAGUGGCACCUGCCCUCCCCCAUUCCACCCUACCCCAGGGCUUACAGUGAAGUAAGCCAGACCCCGUGGGUCUUGCAGCAGCCGCUCAAAGGACUGGGCCCAGCUGGCCACAGGCUGCUCCUCGGUGGAGAAGGGGCUGCUGGGGCCACUAGGGAGGCUGUGGAUGCUGAGAGAGCUGCCUCUGCCCUCACCCUGGGCCUGGGAACCUGCAGUGCUGGUCAGUUCUGCAGAGAGAUGGAUAAGUUAGGGUGAGCCUUUUGCUUCCUCAGCCUGGGGCCCAAUCCCCCUUGCAGGCAGGCAUCUGCUCUGCAGGUAUGAUUACCUGAGAGAUCAACAAGUGGAUGGGAGUGUCCACACAGUUCCACCUCCCUGUGGCUCCCUCCCUUGCUCCCUCAUCCACAAAUCUGUCACUCACCUCCAUCUGAGACAGCCAGAACCUAGGAGAGACCCAAGGUAGAAAAUCAGAGUAGAGCCCUAUAAGCCCUAUAACGAGUUGUUUUGUUGUUGGUGGUGGUUUUUUUUUAUGUUUUGUUUUGUUUUGUUUUGUUUUGUUUUCUGAGGCAGGGUUUCUCUGUGUAGCCCUGGCUGUCCUGGAACUCACUUUGUAGAUCAGGCUGGCCUCAAACUCAGAAAUCCGCCCGCCUCUGCCUCCUGAGUGCUGGGAUUAAAGGUGUGGGCCACCACGCCCGGCUCCUAUAAUGAGUUUGAAGGAGCCACACUGGGCAGAUCUCCAGUGAGCUGGGACUGUAUUUUCUCCCUAGAGAGUAUGGCUAACUGGCUCCAGAUAGUCAUUAUUGCCUAGGGUUUUGUUCAGGCUGCCCUAGUCCCUUUCCAUCAUGCGGCAAUCACUGUGUGCUGGGACUUACUCGGGGUUCUUUCUAGUGGCCCCUGGUUCCCUUCUUUCUCUUUCAGCCCCUGCAAGUUAAGUCCAGGUAUGCUUGGACUUCAGUCCUGCGUCUUCCAGUGGAUACCAUCUGUAAGGAUUUGGACACAGCAGCUCACUUGCUAUGCCAAUCUUGUGUUUGAGGGAGGAGAGAUGUUUCUGUAGCUAGUGACCUUAUUGAACUGUUUCUCCAUGGGAUGCUCAUCCCACCCUACCGUGGGCACAGCAUGGGAUGCUGGUUUUUGUGGCACAGAGCAGAGCCCAUCAGACUUUGAUAGAGUGACCAGGAGGAUGCUCCUGAUGUCCAGGUUCAGUAGAUCCAGGAUGGGACUCGAGGCUCUCUCUCUCUUUCUUUCUUUCUUUCUUUCUUUCUUUCUUUCUCUCUCUCUCUCUCUUUCUUUUUCUUUUUUCUUUUUUUAAUAAGGCAAUAGCAUUUUGUUUAUUGAAAAUAUUUAUAAAGGAAAACUUGAGAUUAAUUUGUAAGACUGCUCAGUGAUAGUCUUUGUAAUUAAUAUAACCAAUGAUGGAGUUUUUAAUAUGCUGGAAUUUUUUUCACAGAAUAAACUACUUUUUGUAAAC
rnacentral:lncRNA from 1 species